GUCCUGAUAGCUUAUAAAGCAUUGGCCUUGUAAGCCAAAGAAUGUGACCCCCCCCCGCCACUCAAGACU
rnacentral:tRNA from 1 species